AUAACACCAAAGCUCUAGGUCCGAAAGUCGAAAAACCCUAGAAUUUGAAGAACUCGUCGGAAUAAAACCAGGGAUGCCGGAAAAUUACCCAAAACACCCCCUGAUACAAGAUCGGAACCUUGAAUAACAGGAAAGUUCCGAUUAUCCGUUCAACAUUCGUUGAAACAUCUCCAAAUAGUAUCUCUCAUCGGUAACCAUAAAAAAACUUCAGCAAAAGCUUCGAACAGGAUCGAUAACACGCAACCGAGAAGGAUCCGAAGAUCAUCCGGCUCUGAUACCAUGAAAACGUGAAGAUUAAGCUGAAGAACAUGAAAGAUAUAGUGAGAGAAA
rnacentral:lncRNA from 1 species